UUCGGGCAUGGUGGUGCAUGCCUGUAAUCCCAGCAACUUGGGAGACUGAGGCAGAAUUAUUGUGAGUUCAAAGCCAGCCUCAGCAGAUUAGCAAGGUACUUAGCAACUCAGCAAGACCCUGUCUCUA
rnacentral:sRNA from 1 species